rnacentral:rRNA from 1 species
GACGAACGCUGGCGGCGUGCCUAAUACAUGCAAGUAGAACGCUGAAGAGAGGAGCUUGCUCUUCUUGGAUGAGUUGCGAACGGGUGAGUAACGCGUAGGUAACCUGCCUUGUAGCGGGGGAUAACUAUUGGAAACGAUAGCUAAUACCGCAUAACAAUGGAUGACCCAUGUCAUUUAUUUGAAAGGGGCAAAUGCUCCACUACAAGAUGGACCUGCGUUGUAUUAGCUAGUAGGUGAGGUAACGGCUCACCUAGGCGACGAUACAUAGCCGACCUGAGAGGGUGAUCGGCCACACUGGGACUGAGACACGGCCCAGACUCCUACGGGAGGCAGCAGUAGGGAAUCUUCGGCAAUGGGGGCAACCCUGACCGAGCAACGCCGCGUGAGUGAAGAAGGUUUUCGGAUCGUAAAGCUCUGUUGUAAGUCAAGAACGAGUGUGAGAGUGGAAAGUUCACACUGUGACGGUAGCUUACCAGAAAGGGACGGCUAACUACGUGCCAGCAGCCGCGGUAAUACGUAGGUCCCGAGCGUUGUCCGGAUUUAUUGGGCGUAAAGCGAGCGCAGGCGGUUUGAUAAGUCUGAAGUUAAAGGCUGUGGCUCAACCAUAGUUCGCUUUGGAAACUGUCAAACUUGAGUGCAGAAGGGGAGAGUGGAAUUCCAUGUGUAGCGGUGAAAUGCGUAGAUAUAUGGAGGAACACCGGUGGCGAAAGCGGCUCUCUGGUCUGUAACUGACGCUGAGGCUCGAAAAGCGUGGGGGAGCGAACAGGAUUAGAUACCCUGGUAGUCCACGCCGUAAACGAUGAGUGCUAGGUGUUGGAUCCUUUCCGGGAUUCAGUGCCGCAGCUAACGCAUUAAGCACUCCGCCUGGGGAGUACGACCGCAAGGUUGAAACUCAAAGGAAUUGACGGGGGCCCGCACAAGCGGUGGAGCAUGUGGUUUAAUUCGAAGCAACGCGAAGAACCUUACCAGGUCUUGACAUCCCGAUGCUAUUUCUAGAGAUAGAAAGUUACUUCGGUACAUCGGUGACAGGUGGUGCAUGGUUGUCGUCAGCUCGUGUCGUGAGAUGUUGGGUUAAGUCCCGCAACGAGCGCAACCCCUAUUGUUAGUUGCCAUCAUUCAGUUGGGCACUCUAGCGAGACUGCCGGUAAUAAACCGGAGGAAGGUGGGGAUGACGUCAAAUCAUCAUGCCCCUUAUGACCUGGGCUACACACGUGCUACAAUGGUUGGUACAACGAGUUGCGAGUCGGUGACGGCAAGCUAAUCUCUUAAAGCCAAUCUCAGUUCGGAUUGUAGGCUGCAACUCGCCUACAUGAAGUCGGAAUCGCUAGUAAUCGCGGAUCAGCACGCCGCGGUGAAUACGUUCCCGGGCCUUGUACACACCGCCCGUCACACCACGAGAGUUUGUAACACCCGAAGUAAAUGAGGUAACCUUUUGGAGCCAGCCGCCUAA